CCUACGGGUGGCAGCAGUGGGGGAUAUUGCACAAUGGGGGGAACCCUGAUGCAGCGACGCCGCGUGUGGGAAGACGGUCCUCUGGAUUGUAAACCACUGUACCCAGGGACGAAAAUGACGGUACCGGGGGAGGAAGCACCGGCUAACUACGUGCCAGAAGCCGCGGUAAAAGGUAGGGAGCGAGCGUUGUCCGGAAUUACGGGGUGGAAAGGGAGCGUAGGCGGGGAUGCAAGUUGGGUGUCAAAACUACCGGCUCAACUGGUAGUCGCACUCAAAACUGCAGCUCUUGAGUGAAGUAGAGGCUGGCGGAAUUCCUAGUGUAGCGGUGAAAUGCGUAGAUAUUAGGCGGAACACCAGUGGCGAAGGCGGCCUGCUGGGCUUUUACUGACGCUGAGGCUCGAAAGUGUGGGGAGCAAACAGGAUUAGAUACCCUUGUAGUC
rnacentral:rRNA from 1 species